rnacentral:misc_RNA from 1 species
AAAGUCGUAACAAGGUUUCCGUAGGUGAACCUGCGGAAGGAUCAUUAACACGUAUCCAAACGUUAAAACCCCCCUGUGAACCUUUAUUAGUGCGCCCCGCCGGGUGAUCGAGUCGUAGGAUGUGGUAAAUCAUGGUUAGUAACGGGAGUUCUUCUCGGACUAUCUUCGGAAUUGAUUCAGGACCUACGAUUGGCUGGCGAAAUGCGAGCUAGAAGCGACUGGCCGGCCCAAGCAAUAACUUGUUCUGAAAGUGUCGUUUAUUGUGUAAGCUGGACGCUGUAAUGUGCACUGGAGGCCGACACGGCCGGUGCCCAGUCCCGGGCCCACCUCGUGGCUCCCUACCACAACGAUGUCUAACUUAGUGCCUGCGAGGGUCAAGUGGCCUGCCGCGGCUUUAACGAACAACUGUUAACAAUGGAUAUCUUGGUUCUC